GACGAACGCUGGCGGCGUGCCUAAUACAUGCAAGUCGAACGCUUCUUUCCUCCCGAGUGCUUGCACUCAAUUGGAAAGAGGAGUGGCGGACGGGUGAGUAACACGUGGGUAACCUACCCAUCAGAGGGGGAUAACACUUGGAAACAGGUGCUAAUACCGCAUAACAGUUUAUGCCGCAUGGCAUAAGAGUGAAAGGCGCUUUCGGGUGUCGUUGAUGGAUGGACCCGCGGUGCAUUAGCUAGUUGGUGGGGUAACGGCUCACCAAGGCCACGAUGCAUAGCCGCCCUGAGAGGGUGAUCGGCCACACUGGGACUGAGACACGGCCCAGACUCCUACGGGAGGCAGCAGUAGGGAAUCUUCGGCAAUGGACGAAAGUCUGACCGAGCAGCGCCGCGUGAGUGAAGAAGGUUUUCGGAUCGUAAAACUCUGUUGUUAGAGAAGAACAAGGACGUUAGUAACUGAACGUCCCCUGACGGUAUCUAACCAGAAAGCCACGGCUAACUACGUG
rnacentral:rRNA from 1 species